rnacentral:rRNA from 1 species
GACGAACGCUGGCGGCGUGCUUAACACAUGCAAGUCGAACGGAAAGGCCUCUUUCGGGGGGUACUCGAGUGGCGAACGGGUGAGUAACACGUGAGUAACCUGCCCUUGACUUUGGGAUAACUUCAGGAAACUGGGGCUAUUACCGGAUAGGAGCUCCUGCUGCAUGGUGGGGGUUGGAAAGUUUCGGCGGUUGGGGGUGGGCUCGCGGCUUAUCCGCUUGUUGGUGGGGUAGUGGCUUACCAAGGCCUUGACGGGUAGCCGGCCUGAGAGGGUGACCGGCCACAUUGGGACUGAGAUACGGCCCAGACGCCUAAGGGAGGAAGCAGUGGGGAAUAUUGCACAAGGGGUGGAAGCCGGAUGCAGCAACGCCGUGUGCGGGAUGACGGCCUUCGGGUUGUAAACCGCUUUCGAUCAUGACGAAGCUUUGUGUGACGGUAGUGGGUAAAGAAGCACCGGCUAACUACGUG